GGGGUUGUGGCUCAGAGGUAGAGUGCUCGCCUUGCACUAGCAAGACCCUGGGUUCCAUCCUCAGCAACCAUA
rnacentral:tRNA from 1 species